rnacentral:rRNA from 1 species
CUGGCGGCGUGCUUACACAUAGCAAGUCGAACGCGAAAGGGACUUACGGUCCUGAGUAAAGUAGGCGCACGGGUGAGUAACGCGUAGAUAACCUGUCUUCAUGUCUGGAAUAAUACGCCGAAAGGGGUACUAAUACCGGAUAUUCUUGCUUUUCAUAAGUUAUGCAAGCAAAGGUGGCCUCUGCAUAUGCUACUGCAUGAAGAGGGGUCUGCGUACCAUUAGCUAGUAGGUGGGGUAAUGGCCUACCUAGGCGACGAUGGUUAGCGGGUCUGAGAGGAUGAUCCGCCACACUGGCACUGGAACACGGGCCAGACUCCUACGGGAGGCAGCAGUGAGGAAUAUUGCGCAAUGGGGGAAACCCUGACGCAGCGACGCCGCGUGAGUGAAGGAAGGCCUUCGGGUCGUAAAGCUCUGUCAAGAGGAAAGAAGUGUACAAUGGCUAAUACCUGUUGUAUUUGACGGUACCUCUAAAGGAAGCACCGGCUAACUCCGUGCCAGCAGCCGC